UGAUCGUAACCGGUAGCCGUAAGUCUUCACCUCGUAGCCGAUGAGGGAGCUUGGUCCCGGAUUUAGCGGCGGACGGGUGAGUAAUGCCUAGGAAUCUGCCUGGUAGUGGGGGACAACGACUCGAAAGGGUCGCUAAUACCGCAUACGUCCUACGGGAGAAAGUGGGGGAUCUUCGGACCUCACGCUAUCAGAUGAGCCUAGGUCGGAUUAGCUAGUAGGUGAGGUAAUGGCUCACCUAGGCAACGAUCCGUAACUGGUCUGAGAGGAUGAUCAGUCACACUGGAACUGAGACACGGUCCAGACUCCUACGGGAGGCAGCAGUGGGGAAUAUUGGACAAUGGGCGAAAGCCUGAUCCAGCCAUGCCGCGUGUGUGAAGAAGGUCUUCGGAUUGUAAAGCACUUUAAGUUGGGAGGAAGGGUUGUAGUUUAAUACGCUGCAAUCUUGACGUUACCAACAGAAUAAGCACCGGCUAACUCUGUGCCAGCAGCCGCGGUAAUACAGAGGGUGCAAGCGUUAAUCGGAAUUACUGGGCGUAAAGCGCGCGUAGGCGGCUUGAUAAGAUGGGUGUGAAAUCCCCGGGCUUAACCUGGGAACUGCAUCCAUAACUGUCUGGCUAGAGUACAGUAGAGGGUGGUGGAAUUUCCUGUGUAGCGGUGAAAUGCGUAGAUAUAGGAAGGACACCAGUGGCGAAGCGACCACCUGGACUG
rnacentral:rRNA from 1 species